UGUCCUGCAAAACAUUAAGAAAUCAUUUAAUAAAAUAAGUUUGUAUUUAUUGCUGAAUGAGCUAUUUUUAUGAAAUAGUAUAAGUAACAAUAUUAUUUUCAUUGGGUAUUAGUAGUGCUGACAUCAAAACUGAAUUUUGAAGCUCAAGUGAAGGAUAACUCUGAGAAGGCGAGGCGAAUCUGAGGUUGAACUUGGCAUGGAGAGGCAUUUUUAAUAAUGCUAAGGUAGACUUUCCAGCUAAAUGUAAAUGGUUUAAAGCUUGCGAAAGGGCUGUACUGUGUCACGGAGCUCAGGUAUGGGAUUACAGGCAUAUUACAAUGUAAGUUACUAGAUGUUUGUAAUUUGUUUAAGUUCCUUUUAUUUGUAUUCCUUAAUCUGAGUUGUUACUAUCGCAUUAGGUAUGAUUUUCAUGGGAGAACAUUGUGUUGGUAAUUUUAUUUGAUAAAUAUAUAUGAGCUUUUGUUCGGAAUUAAUAAAAUUUGAUUUUUAGAUAAUAAUUUGUUCUACGCAUUUGUAAGAUUUGUGUUUGACUGAAAAAAAAA